GGUUGUGGCUCAGUGGUAGAGCGCUUGCCUAGCAUGCAUGAGGCACUGGAUUCAAUCCCCAGAACCA
rnacentral:tRNA from 2 species